UAGGGAAUUGUUCGCAAUGGGCGCAAGCCUGACGACGCAACGCCGCGUGGAGGAUGAGGAUCUUCGGGUCGUAAACUCCUUUCGAUCGAGACGAACGGCCCCUGGGCUAAUCACCAGGGGAGUGACGGUACCGAGAGAAGAAGCCCCGGCUAACUCCGUGCCAGCAGCCGCGGUAAUACGGGGGGGGCAAGCGUUGUUCGGACUUACUGGGCGUAAAGGGCUCGUAGGUGGCCAACUAAGUCGGACGUGAAAUCCCUCGGCUUAACCGGGGAACUGCGUCCGAUACUGGAUGGCUUGAGUUUGGGAGAGGGACGCGGAAUUCCAGGUGUAGCGGUGAAAUGCGUAGAUAUCUGGAGGAACACCGGUGGCGAAGGCGGCGUCCUGGACCAACACUGACACUGAGGAGCGAAAGCCAGGGGAGCAAACGGGAUUAGAUACCCCGGUAGUCCUGGCCCUAAACGAUGAAUGCUUGGUGUGGCGGGUAUCGAUCCCUGCCGUGCCGAAGCUAACGCAUUAAGCAUUCCGCCUGGGGAGUACGGUCGCAAGGCUGA
rnacentral:rRNA from 1 species